rnacentral:rRNA from 1 species
UACGAAGGGGGCUAGCGUUGUUCGGAAUUACUGGGCGUAAAGGGCGCGUAGGCGGCCCGCUAAGUCGAACGUGAAAUCCCCGGGCUCAACCCGGGAACUGCGUCCGAUACUGGUGGGCUUGAAUCCGGGAGAGGGAUGCGGAAUUCCAGGUGUAGCGGUGAAAUGCGUAGAUAUCUGGAGGAACACCGGUGGCGAAGGCGGCAUCCUGGACCAAUACUGACACUGAGGAGCGAAAGCCAGGGGAGCAAACGGG